AAUCAACGCUGGCGGCGUGCCUAACACAUGCAAGUCGAGCGGUAACAGGUGUAGCAAUACAUGCUGACGAGCGGCGAACGGGUGAGUAAUGCUUCGGAAUCUGCCCAAUGGUGGGAAUACCAGCCGAAAGUUGGCUAAUACCGCAUACGUCCUACGGGANAAAGCAGGGGAUCGUAAGACCUUGCGCCAAUGGAUGAGCCGAAGU
rnacentral:rRNA from 1 species